GCUUUAUAAGAUCGUAUUUGAAUCUUUGAUAAGUUGGAGAAACGUGGUUGGCUCAAUUGCCGCCUAUGCCAACUUUGCAAAAAAGAGCAAAAAAUGGGUGCUCACCUUUUCUUGAAGUGCCAUUACACUAUUAGGCUUUGAAGGUUGAUUAUUAAGAAACUGGGUCUUGCACACAUGGACACCUCCAAUUGCCACUUAGAGGAGUCCGUCAAGGACCAGUGA
rnacentral:rRNA from 1 species